UUGCAUCCACUGAUAGACCUGAAGCAAGAUUCAGUAGCUUCUGGGUUUGCACAGAGAUGCUAGAGUGAGCAUUUCCUGAGCUCUCUGACUGCUUUAUACUGUAGCAGCACAGAUUCAGUUAAGGUGCACAUGU
ensembl:snoRNA